AUCUAUGGCCAUGCCACCCUGAAUGUGCCCAAUCUCCUCUGAUCUCGGAAGCUAAGCAGCGUCGGGCCUGGGUAGUACUUGGAUGGGAGACCACCUAGGAAGACCAGGUGCUUUUUUUU
rnacentral:rRNA from 1 species